rnacentral:tRNA from 1 species
GGCUGCCUGGCCCAAUGGUCAAGGCGCUUGACUACGACUGUUCGUGAAGUAGCAGUUGGCAUCAAGAGAUUCCAGGUUCGAGUCCUGGGGUGGUCG